GACGAACGCUGGCGGCGUGCUUAGCACAUGCCAGUCGAACGGAAAGGCCCUGCUUUUGUGGGGUGCUCGAGUGGCGAACGGGUGAGUAACACGUGAGUAACCUGCCCUUGACUUUGGGAUAACUUCAGGAAACUGGGGCUAAUACCGGAUAGGGGCUCCUGCUGCAUGGUGGGGGUUGGAAAGUUUCGGCGGUUGGGGAUGGACUCGCGGCUUAUCAGCUUGUUGGUGGGGUAGUGGCUUACCAAGGCUUUGACGGGUAGCCGGCCUGAGAGGGUGACCGGCCACAUUGGGACUGAGAUACGGCCCAGACUCCUACGGGAGGCAGCAGUGGGGAAUAUUGCACAAUGGGCGGAAGCCUGAUGCAGCAACGCCGCGUGCGGGAUGACGGCCUUCGGGUUGUAAACCGCUUUCGCCUGUGACGAAGCGUGAGUGACGGUAAUGGGUAAAGAAGCACCGGCUAACUACGUGC
rnacentral:rRNA from 1 species